rnacentral:lncRNA from 1 species
UAUGCUGUAAGUCAUAAGUCAAAAUAAAGACACAGGAUGAGGCAGCAACGUUUGCUAUGUUUGUGUGCUUUUAAUAUUUGGACAUGUUUUAUGCAUCUACAGUGUUCUACAGAGCUGUCGCCACACUGUGUGGGUCACUUAGAUCUGUUGAACGCUGCCUUUCUACGUCUUUAAUAUAAACAGGACAAAAGAAGAGAACCUGACAAUAAAGCCUCACAAAUCAGGCUGCGCCUUCAUAUAAACAUCAGUGUGUCAACUACAAACAAGCUGUUUGGUCCCUCAUUUGAGCAAAUUCAUUUCCAAAGAAGUGAGGAGACAACUGAUGUGAGUAGAAGGAAGCUUGUUUUGUUUAUGGCUGCUGAAGAGGUGGCUUUUGUUGUGGAUACAGUGGCGGUUGAUCCUCCGGUGGUAGUUGCUCCGGUGGUAGUUGAUCCUCCGGUGGUAGUUGAUCCCCCGGUGGUAGUUGAUCCCCCGGUCGUAGUUGCUCCGGUGGUAGUUGUUGCUCCUGUGGUAGUUGUUGCUCCGGUGGUAGUUGAUUCCGUGGUCAUGGCCACUGUGGUGGUGGCUGGAGGAACUGUUGUUAAAGUCUGUGUGUUGCCUGAGGCUGUUCAGCAACGACAGAUAUGAUAGUAAAGUGGCUUUUCAUUCCAUUGAAAACAUGAAGCUUUAUUGAUAACAAAUAAUAAUAAUUAAUUUUAACUUACCAACAAACAGCAGGAGAAGAACAAUACAGGUUUUCAUCAUCAUUGUGAAAAAAAAUUGCUAUGGAAAUAAAAAAGUCAGUUUUAAUUAUAAGAUCA